rnacentral:tRNA from 1 species
AUUUAUAUAGUUUAAAUAAAACCUUACAUUUUCACUGUAAAAAUAAAAAUUUAUUUUUUAUAAAUA